rnacentral:rRNA from 1 species
AACGAACGCUGGCGGCAUGCCUAACACAUGCAAGUCGAACGAAGCCUUCGGGCUUAGUGGCGCACGGGUGCGUAACGCGUGGGAAUCUGCCCUUGGGUUCGGAAUAACAGUUAGAAAUGACUGCUAAUACCGAAUGAUGUCUUCGGACCAAAGAUUUAUCGCCCAAGGAUGAGCCCGCGUCGGAUUAGCUAGUUGGUGAGGUAAAGGCUCACCAAGGCGACGAUCCGUAGCUGGUCUGAGAGGAUGAUCAGCCACACUGGGACUGAGACACGGCCCAGACUCCUACGGGAGGCAGCAGUGGGGAAUAUUGGACAAUGGGCGAAAGCCUGAUCCAGCAAUGCCGCGUGAGUGAUGAAGGCCUUAGGGUUGUAAAGCUCUUUACCGGAUGAUAUGACAGUACCGGGAGAA